rnacentral:rRNA from 1 species
AUACGGAAGGUCCAGGCGUUAUCCGGAUUUAUUGGGUUUAAAGGGAGCGCAGGCUGAUGAUUAAGCGUGACGUGAAAUGUAGCCGCUCAACGGCUGAACUGCGUCGCGAACUGGUUAUCUUGAGUGAGUUCGAUGUUGGCGGAAUUCGUGGUGUAGCGGUGAAAUGCUUAGAUAUCACGAAGAACUCCGAUUGCGAAGGCAGCCAACAAGGCCUUUACUGACGCUAAAGCUCGAAGGUGCGGGUAUCGAACAGGAUUAGAUACCCUGGUAGUCCGCACGGUAAACGAUGGAUGCCCGCUGUUUGCGAUAUACUGUGAGCGGCCAAGAGAAAUCGUUAAGCAUCCCACCUGGGGAGUACGCCGGCGACGGUGAAACUCAAAUGAAUUGACGGGG